rnacentral:rRNA from 1 species
GACGGAGGAUGCAAGCGUUAUCCGGAAUUAUUGGGCGUAAAGCGUCCGCAGGUGGACAUACAAGUCUGCUGUCAAAGUGCAGAGCUUAACUCUGUAAAGGCGGUGGAAACUGUAGGUCUUGAGUAUGGUAGGGGUAGAGGGAAUUCCCGGUGUAGCGGUGAAAUGCGUAGAUAUCAGGAAGAACACCUAUGGCGAAGGCAGCUCUCUGGGACGGUACUGACGCUGAGACGCGAAAGCGUGGGGAGCGAACAGG